GUGGGUGAGCCUGGGUGCAGCCAGUGCCGGGUGCAUGAGCACUGUUCAGUCCCGCAGCACCAACCCUUGCACCCUCCCGUGGGGCUGGGGCCAUGGCUGCUGGAGCCAGAGCCAGGCUUGGCGCAGCGCCAGGUGGAGCAGGAAGCGCCGAGCUGGCACUUGUUGACUUAGCUGAGGCUGCAGGCUGCACGGAGCAGCUGGGCUUGCCAUGCAAAUGCCUCGGGUGGAGGUGGCACGCAGGGAAAUGCAAAUAGUGGGGCCCUGGGAGCAGAGUGUGGGGCAUGGGAUGCGGGACACAGCGGGACCCCUCUCUCUGCAAGCGGGCACAGCUCUGUGCCAUGCGGCACGACCUGCAAAGCCCUGGAGGUAUGCAGAGGGGUGAGGCGAGGCCGCGCUGCCACGGGUCUUACAGCCUUAAUGGUGACAUUGACUGCCAGGUUUGCAGCGGAGCUCCAGGCCAUGGGGAUAAGCUCCAGCUCCUGGCUAAUCCGCGGGGCCGGGACAUGGCACUCCCGUUCCCAGGGGGUUAUCCCAGGGGAAGCUCAGCCGGGCUCCUGGGCAUGGGGUCACGGUGCCAGGCACCAGCAGAGCCACCAGCCCACGGCACACACCCGACCUCUGCCCCAUGGCUGUGCCGGGGCCUUGCCCUAUGCACCUGCUCAGCCGCGCUCCCGUUGCAGCUGGUGUCGCGCGAGGGCAGCCCCGAGGGCCUGCGCCGGGCCGACUCCACGCGGCGGUCGCGGAACUUCAGCAAGCAGCCGAGCACAGGUGACUACUAUAAGCACCUGGGGCCCAGCGCGGCAGAGCUGCCCGUCCCACGCAGGAUGGCACACAGCGAGGAGGGCUCUCCGCUGCCCGCAGACACCAUGCACAAUGGGGGCCCGGCAGAGAGCAAGCCCGGCACCGAGCUGCCGCCUCCACCGCCGCCCCCGCCGCUGCCCGAUG
rnacentral:lncRNA from 1 species